CCAUGUAAGAUAUGACUGUGCUCCUCCUUCACCUUCUGCCAUGAUUGUGAGGCCUCCACAGCCAUGUGGAACGGAAGCUGUUUUUCCCUCUUUGGGGUCUCAGAGAGAUUGGUGGCAAGGACUCCUGGGAAGAGAAAAGCUGAAGGACACUCUGGCAAGAGGAAACCCCGAGCCAAACGUAUGGCCACCUCUGACCACUCGACCAGCCCAGCAUGGUGUACAUUUCUGGGUAGCUUAUCACGCCUUCCAAGCAUUGCCUUUAUCUUCCUUCUCCCCAUCAAGCCUGUAUUGUUUUCCUUUUGAAUCAUAAGCACUUUUGUUAAAUACCUCAAAUCUUUCGA
rnacentral:lncRNA from 1 species